rnacentral:lncRNA from 1 species
CACUCUUGCCUCUGUUCCCUAGGUGCUGGGAUCAAAUGCUUGUGCCACUGUCCCCAUCUUUAGGGACCCUUAAUACCACACUUCUCUUCCCAGGGUUCCUGCCUCUCACUCAGGUCCAAAGGAGGAAACAAAAGUAUAGUACCCUGCCUGCCCCUGUAAAUGAGCAACCCAGCUUUGCCACCUCUACGGUCUUCUCACCCAGCCAGGCGCGGUACUGCUCCAGAGGUACACCUUCCAUAGGUUCCUCUUCAUUAUCCACCACCAUCAGGGGAGACGGUGAGCGAGGCCC